UACGUAGGGUGCAAGCGUUGUCCGGAAUUACUGGGCGUAAAGCGUGCGCAGGCGGUUCGUUGUGUCGGCGGUGAAAGCCCCGGGCUCAACCUGGGAAUGGCCGUUGAAACUGGCGAACUGGAGUGUGGCAGAGGGGGGUGGAAUUCCGCGUGUAGCAGUGAAAUGCGUAGAGAUGCGGAGGAACACCGAUGGCGAAGGCAGCCCCCUGGGCUGACACUGACGCUCAGGCAUGAAAGCGUGGGGAGCAAACAGG
rnacentral:rRNA from 1 species